CGGGUGAGUAACGCGUGAGGAACCUGCCUCAAAAAGGGGGACAACAGUUGGAAACGACUGCUAAUACCGCAUAAGCCCACAGCUCGGCAUCGAGCAGAGGGAAAAGGAGCAAUCCGCUUUGAGAUGGCCUCGCGUCCGAUUAGCUAGUUGGUGAGGUAACGGCCCACCAAGGCGACGAUCGGUAGCCGGACUGAGAGGUUGAACGGCCACAUUGGGACUGAGACACGGCCCAG
rnacentral:rRNA from 1 species